rnacentral:rRNA from 1 species
CCUACGGGAGGCUGCAGUGAGGAAUAUUGGUCAAUGGGCGUAAGCCUGAACCAGCCAAGUCGCGUGAGGGAUGAAGGCUCUAUGGAUCGUAAACCUCUUUUAUAAGGGAAUAAAGUGCGGGACGUGUGCCGUUUUGUAUGUACCUUAUGAAUAAGGAUCGGCUAACUUCGUGCCAGCAGACGCGGUAAUACGGAGGAUCCGAGCGUUAUCCGGGUUUAUUGGGUUUAAAGGGUGCGUAGGCGGCCUUUUAAGUCAGCGGUGAAAGUCUGUGGCUCAAACAUAGAAUUGCCGUUGAAACUGGAGGGCUUGAGUGUGUUUGAGGCAGGCGGAAUGCGUGGUGUAGCGGUGAAAUGCUUAGAUAUCACGCAGAACCCCGAUUGCGAAGGCAGGCUGCC